UACGUAGGGGGCAAGCGUUGUCCGGAAUCAUUGGGCGUAAAGAGCGUGUAGGCGGCUUGGCAAGUCUGACGUGAAAGCCCGCGGCUCAACCGCGGAUUGUCGUUGGAAACUGCCUCGCUAGAGUCCGGAAGAGGAGAGCGGAAUUCCUGGUGUAGCGGUGGAAUGCGCAGAUAUCAGGAAGAACACCCGUGGCGAAGGCGGCUCUCUGGGACGGUACUGACGCUGAGGAGCGAGAGCGUGGGGAGCGAACAGG
rnacentral:rRNA from 1 species